UUCUUAAUAAUACUGAUAUCUACCACACCGACUCUGGUUAAAUGAUAAAUUUGAUUUUGUUUGGAAGCAGGUUAGUUGAAAAGACCACACAGCUGAACAGUGAGAAAAUGCAGAAAGAAACUGAAGUCCAGAAACUUAUGGAAGAAAAUGUGAGGUUGACCGCUCUACUUGACAAAAAAGAGGCCCAGCUCUUGGCCAUGAACGAACAAUGCAAGGUUCCAGUGGAUCUUGUCAUUGACAAUUCUGUUCAGGUUGAUGUGGCAGGAAGUGAAUGCAAUGCAGGCAAAUAUGGGGCUUGAAUUUCAGAGAAACAAGGAGAGGUUUGUUUUUCUGAAGUGGGGUUCCAAUGUUUUUCACAAUAUGCUCAUUGUUCCUCCUGGUUCUGGUAUUGUCCACCAGGUUUGGCAUUUAGCAAGUGACUCUGGUAAUUUUCAAGUUAAUCUUGAAUACCUUGGAUGGGUUAUUUUCUACACAAAUGGCAUUUUGUACCCUGAUAGCGUGGUUGGAAUUGAUUCCCAUACAAAUAUGAUUGCUGGCUUAGGAGUUGUUGGCUGGGGAGUUGGAGGAAUUGAAUCUGAGGCUACAAUGCUUCGCUAGGUGCAAAAGAAAAUGCAGCUUCUGCUUCUUCAAAACCUGCUGCUGGUGCUGGUGAUAGUAACUGCAAUGUCAGAAUUUUUUUGGAGAGAUGCAAAAUAUGGUCCAAGAAUUAAAGAACUU